UUUUCUUUCUUUCUUUCUUCUUUUUUUCUUUCUUUCUCUUUCUUUCUUUCUUUCUUUCUCUCUCUCUCUCUCUCUCUCUCUCUUUCUUUCUUUCUAUUUAUUUAUUCACGAGAGAGAGAAAAAGAGAGAGAGAGAAAGAGAGAGGCAGAGACCCAGGCAGAGGGAGAAGCAGGCUCCAUGCAGGGAACCCUACAUGGGACUCGAUCCAGGGUCUCCAGGAUCAGGCCGUAAGCUUAAGGCGGCGCUAAACCACUGAGCCACCCGGGCUGCCCUACGGUAGUUUCUAAAGGAGGAAAAGCAUGGGUGGAAAUAAGUAGCCAGAUGUGAGAGAUAUCCAAUAAAUGACUUACCAAGAAUAGUCUUUCAAUAGUAUUUACUGAAUGAAUGAAGAACUUGAUUUGUCAUAGAAGGAAAGAGUGGCUUCUAAGAAUUUAGGACUUGAAGUUGCAUAGAUAUGAGUUUAAAUCCCCCCCCCCCCAAGUUCCUCUGUUUGCUAGCUGUAUGGCUGUGGGCAAAUUAUUUAAUCUCUCCAAGUCUCAAUUUCCUUAGCUGGAGAUAAGGGCAAAACCCACCUCAUAGGGUUUUUUCAAGGAUUAAAUGAGGUAAUAGGUGUAAAGUGAACAGUAUGGGGUCUGGCACAAACUAAGUGCUAUUUACAUUAUUAUAAACAUUUAAUGCUAUUGUUUAAAGAGUGACAAAUGGAUUCUCCUAACAGUUGGAAAUAUCUCCCACUCAAAUAGAAAUAAAUAAAAACAUUUAUUUCAAUUAUAUUCCUUCUCAUUUUUCACGGUAUGUGAGGAUACAAGGAGAAAACGCCUACAGUCCACAGAAAGUGGAUCAAGUGUAACUAGUGAGUUUGCUCUGCUGGGAUAGAAGGGAUCACUGUAGAACACAGCAAACAGAAGUGCCCGAGUCUGUCUGUCGCCCGUCUCUCUCUCUCAUUGUCCAUGUUGCUUUAAACAAAAAGGGUCGUGUAGAGUCAUUUCAAUUAUGGUAUUGCCAGAGAGCAGUGGAUAACUAUUUCUUGUGCCAGAAACUUUCACUUGUUUUUUUAAAGGAAGGGGAGAAAGCGGGAGAUGCUCAGGGGAGAAGUUCUGGUCGCCCAUGGACCCUGCUGCCUGAUUGAAUACAGGGAACAUUCAUUAAAACAUGGAUGGUUUUCUAACCACCUUUGAGGUCCUCAAUAGACAAUAUCUACUUUAGUAACCUUAUGUUCUAUACCAGUGCUUAGUUAUUUUGAGAUACGAGUGGAAAGGGUAAUUUUAUUUUCAAGGCCACACAGCAAUUUGCUAAUAUGACCCAUAACUAUCUAAUGUUCCAUAAUAAUAUGAAAUUUUCUAUUUUUCUUAUUUACAAAGAGAUACAUCUUUUAAUGGGGCAAGGUAGAUUUUGAAUGCAAUCCUUGAUUGCUUGUGGACUAAUAUUAACUUAAAAUAAUUCAAGAAGAUGGUAUCCUAAUCUUCCCUAGUUUUGAUUUUCUCUAUUGUUCUCUCUAUAUAUAAAUCCAUAAAUUUUUUGUAUAGAUAGAUCCAUUUAGUGUUUGUCUAGGAUAUCAAAAGCCCAGAGUUUAAUCUUGCUGUGCCUUUCAUAGAUGUGUUUGAUAGUGAUUGUAAUGUUUAGGUGAUAAACUAUGAGAACAUGGACUGGGCCUUUUACAUAUUUUAUGUACUCCUCUCUUUUCUCCCCAAGGUCAAUUAUAGUUCAGAACAUGUAAUAGAUGCUCAACAAACCCUCACUGAUGGGUUUAGUGUUUAUGAGAACUCUACUGUAGAAUAUCAUGGGAAGGAAGUUUGAUAGAUGUAUAAAGAAGAAAUUGUCAAAUAUCCCACUCAUGUAUCUAUUGCUUUCUUUUUAUGAUGACUGGAAUAAAUCCAUCAGCUUUUCUAUGUAAUGUUUUGAUACUCCUACUUGUAAGAUAAGAUAUUAGAAAGUGAUUGUCUCUAAUAUUAAGAGAACUUGGGAUGUAUGGUGGUAUCUCACAAUGCUCAUUUCCUUGGGAAUGAUCAAAGACAUUGGGUUACUCUUAAUGCUUUACUGAUCAGUAACAAAAUCUACCGAAAGCUAGGUGUUAGGAAAAGAAGUAUUUAUACCAACUCAACUUUAAAGGAAAACAUUUUUAAUUCCAAUAUUUCAAAAUCCUUCUCCAUUUAACUUGUGACAACUACACCUUUUUAUCCUUUCGUCUUUUUUUUUUAAGAUUUUAUUUAAUUAUUAGAGAGACAGAGAGAGAGAAAGAGGCAGAGACACAGGCAGAGGGAGAAGCAGGCUCCAUGCAGGGAGCCUGAUGUGGGACUCAGAUCCUGGGUCUCCAGGAUCAUGCUCUGGGCUGAAGGUGGCGCUAAACCGUUGAGCCAUCUGGGCUGCCCUAUCCUUUCUUUUUAAAGGAAAAACAGUAAACUGGACAUAUGGUAAUUCUUACAGAUGUUCUACAUGGUACAAGACUGACCAUUCAUUCAUUCAUUACUUCGAUGUUCAUGAAGCAACCCUUGCUCUGUGCCACACAAAAACUGUUCUGUAUUUGAUAAGUUAAUCCCCUCUUGGGGGAGAUAUUAGAAUAAGCCUCUCAGGAUUUUAUGGUACUGAUGCUGUAGGGGUCCUAAUAACAAAGACCCAUUGCAUCUCCAUGAGACGGCAAUAUAUAUUCUGCUCUGGGCUGUCAAGGAAAGCUCAGGAGUAGGCUGGCACAGUGGUAUUUUCUAGCCAGAAGAAACAUCAUGAGCAGGGCUUGGUGGAAUUAGCCUAUGGCUUGGUAAGGAAUUCAUAAUUUUGCUAAAGGUAGUGAGGUUUAAUUUAUUUUGUCAUAAAAUA
rnacentral:lncRNA from 1 species